AUUCUGAGCAGCGUGGAAGGAGUUUUCGCCGAAGACCCCCAUGCCAGCUGCUUAAAAAACCCAGGCUGGCAGCACCGGGUCCCAGUAGCACGUUAUAUUUUGAAGAGUGGAGGUGAGGCCCCCCCUUCUUCCCCGGCUGGGGCCUAGUGCACAGCAGGUGUGAGUGAGUCCUUCGGAUCACCGUGCAACAUAGGCAUGGGACGCAGAGGACACUUGCUGAGUAGCGGAAGCAGUGCACAGCUGACAGCUUUGGAGAAGUCAUGACUGAAGGCUGCCUGAAGGGGCUGUCGAGUGACCCAUUAAGGGGAACAGCCUCAGAAAUCCAGGCAACUGGCAGCAGGUCAACAUGGCCUGUUAGCAUAAGCUGAUGGUCACUAAGCACCAGCAUCUGUCAACGCACGCGCCACCACUUCCAACCACUCUAACUUUCUUGUGACAUGUAUGUACUCUCACUCUCUCUCUUUCACACACACACACACACAAGCACUCACAGACAGGCACAUGCACAGAUACACACAUAUUUACCAGUUAAUGGACACAAUCUUUAGCUUGUGAAAUUGCCUCAGACUGGAUUCUGUGGUCUUUUGUUUGCACUUUUAUAACCUGUCCCUUUGUGUUGCAGAGGGGUAUUUACAGGCAGUUAAACAGGUACGUACGAGAACUGGCUCUGUAUCAGAAUCCCACCUCUGACCCCCUGGUUCUGAGCUUACAGUUGAACCAGAACAGCCCAAAGGCUGGGAAAGGCUUAUCCAGUUCUGGGCCCUGGGCUUUUGUUCCAGUCCAGCUCUCGUCUAUACGCUAUGUGAAAUACCGUGUGGAGAGGCGUCAAGUUUUGCAGCGUAGUAGUGUUAUACACAGGUAAGAACUGGGGAUGUGGUGUAGGAUGAUUCUAGCUAAUACACACAGUUAGCUGGAAUGGCAUAGUCCCCCUAAGCCAGUUUUUGGUGCAGGAUUGUUAGGUACUAAUAGUUCCAUGGAGCUAGUGUAAAUGUUGUAUAGAAGGGGCGGUUAAUGGGGCUGUAGUGCAGUAUGUACUCUCACACUCAGGUAAGUCUGCACGGUUAGUUAUUCACUAUAUAAGGGGAAGGCUGGCCUCUUUCUAUACAGAAUACAGGAGAGUGUAGCUUCAGCUUAAGGUCCUUAUUUGUGUGUUUUCUUUGGUGCUGUGAUAGCUCAUCACCUAAAACUCCAUCUUCCCCAAACCGACCUCAGACCUGCCUACUCUAAGCUGGGAUCUGCCCCCAUCUGCUAUUUGCCUUAUGUUGUUUGGCUGCAUUGUCACUGGCGGGUUUGCUCUGGUGAGUUGACACAUUCCCUCACUGCUGUUGCCCAUGUUCUGAGUAAAAAAUGCCUUUCUCUGCAGAUCGGGAGGGUGCAUCCCUCACAACGGGCCAGGCCAGGUUCGUAUCACAGCACAGAGCGAAGGUUUGCUGUGUGGCUCGGCCCAGAAGAGGAUGGUCGCUCCAUCUGGGGCUGGCUGAUUGCCUGGGGGUAGGAGACUCCUGGGAUCUCUUUGCGUCAGCAUCCUCUCCAUGCUAGCCAGGAGGAAAGAGAUAGUGGGUGAGCAUUUUGAAAGUUGGCUGCCUUGUUAUCAUCCUCUAGGUUCUCCUGGGAGUCCGUGUGCCAUUUUCCUUUCAUGUGCUGAGCCAUCUCUCUCAGCUAGUCCUUUAGUGAGUGCCUCCUGUCUCUCUGACCACCAGCAGAUUGAUUUCCAAACAUGGCUGCAGCUUGCUGCUCGCUUGCCCAACCAGUUCUGGGCCUGGAGAUAAUGCCGCAGCUGGAAAUAUUUCUAACCCCCUGAUCUUUCAGGGCUGUGCUUUCAGGUGGCUUGUUCAAACCACUUCAAGGCUGAAACCUGAAAGAGCUGAUGUGGUAAGCCAGUCUGCUCUGCUCCUGUCUAGCCCUGGUGACUGCAGAGAAGCCAGGGGCAAAGCUUGCAGCUUGCAAUAGGAGAAAUGUACCCUGGCCAGGACAGGGUGUUGUGUUAAGAGGGUUUCUCCCAUUUGUGUGAUGAUCUCUGUGAUGUCUGGAAGGUGUUGAUUCCUGUGGCGCAGCUGGAAAAGCUAAUCUGAGCCUGUGCGUCUGAUACCUGGUCUGUGGGCUGUUAUAGGUGGGCUGCCUGCAAAUAGCUGGGGAAGGCUGGGAGAGCUACUUUCCCAGCUGUUUUUCCGAUUCUGCACAAGCCUGGCUUUAAUUUUGCUCUUUUCUUUCCCUUAGUGAACCUGGAAACAUGGGAUUGGUUGGGAGCAGGGGGGUUGGCGCUGGAGAAGGACCAGGACUCUUGGUACCGUUGGACGGUCCUGGUUCCUGCUCCGCCCGUUGGAGUUAGCUGUAGAACUGACACCUGGCUUGCACUUUGCUCAGCUCUGUGGAGGCAGCUCCGUUCCUAUGGACUCCAAGCCAGGAUCCACGGGUUGGAUAGAGGACGUAGAGGAGAGAAGAGGCGCUGCCAGCGCACCGGAUGGAAGGAACUCCAGCCUCGAGAGCUGCCAUCUGCUUCUUGUCAGGUUGCUGUGCGCGUCCGUUCCUGGCUGCCUGCUGACGGAGGUUGCUGGAUCCCAGCAUGAGAACGUUGUUAUGACAGAUGGUCUGUUUACCGCUUUUCAUCCCUGCUCAGGAUUGCACAGGAUGUUAGUGCUUGUCUGCAAAAGACAUUUCUGGGUCUGGUCUCUCGCCCUCCCCCACUAUCCUUUUGCUCUCUCCACCCACCUCCUUCUCACCCCCUCUUUUCUCCCCUCCCCGCCUCCAGUGCUCUCUGUUGCUACCAUCUAUGGUUCUGAUCUGUGCACGCAGGCCUCAUGGGAUUCCUUCCUGAAACACCUCUGCCCACAGUGUAGGCCUCCCCUCCAUGCUAGUCAGGCCGCACAAGUGAGCGGAUUUUGUUGAGAGUCUCAGCUCCAGGGGCGACAGAUGGGAUCAGCAUUGGCUCCUAAGCCUUCAAGCAGGUGUUGGCCAGCUGUGUGGCCUCUGUCACAAUCAAGACGAUCUGUUGCUUCAUUCAGGAGUGAGGAUCAGAGAGGCUGGUUUGACUUCCAUUAACUCCUUUAUGCCUGAGCCGUUCCCAGCUGGCACGUGUCCAGGGAUGGGGAACUCCUGCAAGGGAGGGGUUUGAAUUGCUAACAUUGUUUUGGAGACCCAAUGUCCUGGCCCUACCACUAGCCAGAGGCAUUCUCCCUGCUGCUGAAUUUGCAGACAUCUCACUGCGAGUUCUGGCUGGAAGGGCCCAGUAGCCCAGGGCUCCCAUACAGAAAUCAGUAUUGCCCUAGUAAUGCCUUCCCUGAGCUCUUAGCAUCUCUCCACUCUUCCCUCUGCCCAGGCAACAGCUCCAGCAACACCCCUCCAUCCCUCCCCACAUCUGCUGCAAAUCCUGGGACCCAGAAAUCCACCACCGUCUGCUCUUCUGUUCGGUCCAAGGGGCGCAGACUCCUCCCAGUGUCCCCCAGCAGCAGGGACAGUCCGGCUGGCAUGCUGGGCGGGCCCUCGGCUCUAACCCAUGCAGCCCCUGCUGCACGCAGCACUUUGGGAAAUGCAGUGCAAACAGUUUAUGCUGGGAUCAGCUCUCCUCAUAAACAUACUGAGACGCUUCCAAUUGCCUAAACAGCCCCCAGGCACGACUCAGGGCCUGUCCUGCUCUUUGUCCACAGCAGAGGGGCUGAUUAAUGGGCUUCUUUCCGGAGGAAACCGCAGUCCUGCUUUCCAUAGCCCUAGCGCCCUGCCCCUCCCCCCCCUCAGCAGAACUCCCAGGGCCAGCCAGCCAUCUGCAGCCAUGUUUAGUGCAGGAGGCAUAAACUACAUGCCAGCUCAGCUUCAGAGAGACAGGAGCCUCCACUGCCAUAUACGGGAUGGAAGAGGCCUGGGAACCUCAGUCAGGCCCUGUUUACUUCCUCUCCUCGCCUUCUGCUCCCAUUUCAUGGGGGACUGUCUGUCUAUGUAGCUAUCUCUGGGCUUACCCUGCACCCAGCACCCCAGUAUCUGGACCUCAUGGCUCUGUGGCCUUUGUCUGUUCUUUGCUUUUCAGACAGAAGCUCGUGUCCUUUCCCCAGGAGCUCCACUGGCCGGAUUGACAGCCCUGGAGCCAAAGGUCCCUGCUUAGCCCCAGAACGUGCCCGGCUAGGCAGCAAGUGUCCGCUGCCCACCCCGACCUGGCAGAAGGCACUGCAGUCAGGCCCAUUCAGCCUCUCUGCUGCAGCUGCCAACAAGGGGUCAGUCAGGUCAUUCACGGUGGCCAUUCCAUGGGGAAGUGAACUCAGAUCUAGUCAAGGCCAUUCCAAGUCAAGGCCUCCAGCCAGCCUGCGCUGGGAAGAGCAGCAGCUGGGGCAGUGAGCGGUAACCCCUGUGAAGUGCUUGGAGUGUGCUGGUACAAGGCCUCUGGGAACCCUGGGCUUCCCUGGAGCCAUCCCCCCUGAGGAGUAUGCCAGCCUCACCCUGUGCUGGGGCAAUGGCAAUGUAUUCUCCCCCCACCCCCAGCAUCUGUACAUCGUUGUGGGUCACCCCAGGCUCUUGUGAGCUCCUUAAAACCCUGGCUGUCCAACUCCAUACUGCUCACGUCUCUCAUGCAUGGGUACCUGCCACACUGACUCAACUCCCCAGCUCCUCUCCCAGCCUGCUCUGGGCUCCGCAUAAAACCCAGGCUGGCUCUUUGCAGGCGGCCUCAUCCCAUGUUUCAUUAGCUGCUCCUACCCCAGACAGCCCUUUCCCUGCCCUUGGCCGUACAGCUCCUUCCGCUGACCCAUGGCUGCUGCUGCACCUUCGCCCCGCUCUGCCCGAAAUCCCAGCAGGAACCGCGCCAUGUCACAGAUGACGCACUCUGUGAUCAGGACACGUGACAGCAGGAGGGGGCUGGAGACAGGCACACGGUGCCUGAGACACACAUAUAUACACCCAUCCUAAGUCAGCUAUACCCAGUCACACACGCUCACAGAGACACAGCUCUCUCUCUCUCUCUCCCUCCUCCCCACCCCCAUGUCUGCGCGAGGCAACGCUGGAUGGCUACAGAUGGAGCUCCAUCAAUGUCUCCCAGCCCAAGGUGCAGUGCUGCAUCUCUGGUCAGUUGUGAGUCUGAGAUGAAGCACUGUAGCUCGGGAAGGGAGGAACUGUGCAGCAGAGGGACAUGCAUCUGUUCAACAGGCCGCACGGAAGCCCAGGCCAGCAGGACUUAUGGCUCCAGGCAGCAGUUUCCCUUGAUGGGCAGCAAGAAGGGAUGACUCGCCACUUAGGUUCAGACCGAAGGAGUGGCAUAGGGUGUGAACUGGGGAGACAAACCCCCUGGCCACCUGAGGUUCAGCGCAGAGGUAGAGGGAAAGGUCUCUGCACCAACCAGGCCACAGGGUGGUCUUCUGGUUCCGGGCAGGGGGUGGGAAGGUUAGGAGGGAUUUUCAGGAAGCCUGUUAUCAAGGUGGCCUCUAGUUGCCCUGCAGUUGCCUUCAUUGCUUGCUCUCCUCCCCAGUCUCCCCGCUGAACCCUAGGGUUGGGUUUCAAAGAGCUCUGGGUGUGCACGUGUGCAUGCACCUAUGUGGAUCUGUCAGCACAGUGAGUGUGCAUGUGCCAGCCAUGCUAGUUCCCUCCCCUUCCAUGGGCAGAGGGUGGCUUGCCUAUCCCAGCUGCACUUUGGGAACAUUCCCUAACGCUCGGCAACGAGCCCGGAGCAGAGAGGAGCUCUGGGGAAUGACUCUUACAAGAGCUCAGAUCUGUUAGGCCUGGGCAGGAGAUGUUGUGGGGGAUGGACUCCAUGGCAAUAGAGCCCCCCAGGGCUGGCCAUUUGCGGAUCCUACGGCGCAGAAUGCUUAUCUCGAGCUGUAAGGCAGAGAGACAUGCAUGGAGUUGCAGGAGGUAUAAGGAAGUGGCACACCCCAAAUAGUGGGCUGGCACUGCAUGGUUAGUGCCUGUGGGCUUGUGCUGCACCCCCCUCCAAAGUCCCCUGGGAAUGCAAGGUAUGUUAAGGGGGAUUCAUCUUCCACAGUGGGAGUAAAUUGGCUAAAGGAAUGAAGGGGGGGGCUGACUGGGGUCAGUGCAGGGAGGUCACAAGCUGGGUUUAGACACCUGUGCAGCACUCCCUCAGGGUGGCACCUGGCGCUGUGGAUGGCUAAAGGAUGCUCAAGUACUGGGGACGGCGGAAACCACACUUUCUCUCCCCGCCGUGUCCUCAGGGUCCAGUUUUCCCAGGAAUCCCUUAGGCACUAUGACGGGGAUUCCUGGAAAUACUGUUCUUGAGGCCAUGGCUCAGCAGCUGGAGAAGACCUGCCCCCUGCCGAUGCAGAGCCCUCCAGAAGUCAGCGGAGCUGGAGAGCAAGGUUUGGAAGCACGUCUGGGGAUUCGCUUCUGGCAAUUCCAGGCUGAGCGGGAGGGAGGAUGGGAGGGCGGAGCCCUCCAGCGCUGUCAUGCCAUGGCCAUGCUGGGUGUGAGGGGUGGGUGUGAGCCCUGGUUUAACUCACCCCAGCUCCUCCAGACCAAGGUAUAAGGCCCAAGCUCAGCCAAGUGCAUAGGAGCUAUUGCACCCCCCAAGAUCAUAACUCAGUGCAGUGCAAAGCAAUCUAGGGGACCACCAGCAGGCCCGGAAGCUGCCCUGUGUGCUGGGAUCCUGCAGGAACGGAGCCUCUUCCUUUAUUAGCUCAGAGCUGGGAGUCACCGCUUCCCUUUGUAUCUCCCAAUCACCCCACUCCCUGGUGUGCUGCCAUCAGGGCUGUGGGGUGAGUCGCACAUGAGUAAAGGCCUCCCCGGGGUCCUGGGUGUGUUACUUGGCCGCUGCUGUGUAAAUAAAGAUCUGGGUUCAUCACGCAA